AUCGGGCACGUCCGUAAGUGUCGGGAAAGAGGGUUCCUCUCGAGCGGCGCUGUUGUAGGUACUGUACGGGUUAAUGCAUGCGCAUUAUGUAUACGUUAUCACGCGCAUGCGUUGCUGUCAGCUGACACUGUUGAUAGUUACGACGAAAGUGAUAAACAAGGGGUGUUAUAUACUAUAAUUUUGCAGUGCAAAAAACUCAGUGAAAUUUUCCAAAAGCACGGUUAAUUACUGUAAAGGAAUCGAUAUUAUGCACGAUCCAGGCGAUUUAUUGGACGAGGGAAAAAGAAGAAGUUAUUAACCUGAUUAUCAAGAGCGUAUCAGUCGAGAGGACGAUUCCGAGGCUUUGCGGAUUCAAUGACGAACUUUUCGAGCCAGGAGCGAGACCAUUUUUUUGUGGCAAGACCAAAGGCGAGGGGCAAAUUAUUGGGAGAUCGGUCAGGAUAUUGAAGGCCAGGAUAACAGCGAUUUCGAUGCUCGAUGACGACAUGAAUUUCCAACAAAUUCCUUCGUUCGGGGUUGAGGAAAUUCCAACAGGACUCAACCGUGGAAAAUUAAAUUUGACAUCGAGCGAUACUUGAAUCUGAACAGCUCGGAACAGAGCUUCGCUCAGAGAACUCGAAACGUUUGAUUUCUAGUUACUACGUUUUAUUCGCUGGCGUUUGUACGUUCUUCAACUCUCGAGCAGAUGUAACCGAAUUGUUAAUCAAUUACUGAUCAUACUCGACGCAAACGAUUUUCGUUGGAAUGUCGAUUGAUAAUAUUAAGGCAGUGCUGUAGCUGUACCCUUUUUUUAUCUUUUCAGAAACUGCUUUACACUCUCCAGUGCUAAUAUUGAAUAUUGUGCCGAAAAACCUCAAAUUGGGAGCUCCAAACUGCCAAAUUGUCGUAAAUUGAGAGCAUUUAAAUGUUGAAAACAUUGAAGUUUAUCCAAGCAUAAAAUACGAUUUCGCUCGAUGAUAAAAACGCGGGAAUUCUUCAUUGGAAAAUUGUUUCUGCGUAAAGACUUUCAACAAUCUCCCCGAUCACUUCAUACCGUAUUUUACCCAGCUCGGACUAUUCCAACUCGCUAUCGUUCGCCAAAUAAAUCCGUCUGGCAUUUGCACCUCAUAAACUAGGGCUUUCAUAUAGCGAACGAUUGUUUGAUGAAACAAUGUUGACCGUUGGAAGAAAAACACUCUGUGCGAUUAGAGAGCGGGGGAGGCUCGUGGCCAAAUUUAUUACCGACCAAGAUGCGUAAAUAACACAUUCGAUAGGAAUUUCGAUUUUUUUUUCCCUCCGAAAAUAUAUGCUGCGUGGAAAAGAAUAAUGUGAUGAAUUAAAUGAUCAGUUUGCUCGAAUGACUCGCCGCUAUUUCGAACUUAUCGUCUCUCGUGCCCCUCCUUAUUAGUCGACCGAGUGUACAUCUCGAUAAAAUUGAGAUAUAAAAAAGCUGAGCCGACUAUUUACAAUGAUCCAGUUCACUGUACGGGGCGCAAUGAUCGGCCCUACGAAAUUCCGUGCUUUUUUACGGCAUCAUAUGUUGGAACGUGUUUAACGACCUUGUGGCUGUUUAAUUCAUGUUUGUAUGAGUAUUGUGCGCAUUUUUUGUAUUUACACAUGGAAUUUGAGCCUGCACGUGUUUUCCUCAACGACGUUUUGUCAAAAGUAUGAAAAUAGCUAACGAAUGAAAGUUUCUAUGUGAGGAAAAUUGAAUUUUUAAUGCACAACACGAAAAGAGUAUUUUCUUUGUACAGAAUUUGGCCCGUCAAAUAAUCGAUGACGAUUUUUGUCUCAGCAAUCGAGAUGAGAAAACUCAAAAUUCAGAUUUUUUUUUAUCGUUUGGAAAAUCGUGUAGAAAGUUCACGCGAAUCAGAGCGGAUCGUGGUUUCAUAAGUGAAACUGACGUGAAAUGUCUCGCGUGUGUAUACUCAAUGCGUUAGAUUGAGGGGGGCAUUUUAUGAUAUUGGGAUAAUGCCAGUGAGGGUGGAUAAACGACCUCAAAUAAAUGUCUCUUCGUACAUAAGUCUA
rnacentral:lncRNA from 1 species